CGGGAGGCAGCAGUUUCGAAUCAUUCACAAUGGGCGAAAGCCUGAUGAUGCAAUGCCGCGUGGAGGAUGACGGCCCUAGGGUUGUAAACUCCUGUCAUUAGGGAACAACAAGUAGGUUCAUAGCCUACUCUGAGUUAACCUAAAGAGGAAGAGGUGGCUAACUCCGUGCCAGCAGCCGCGGUAAUACGGAGACCUCGAGCGUUACUCGGAUUUACUGGGCGUAAAGGGUGAGCAGGCGGCCAGGUGUGUUAGGUGUGAAAUCCCGGGGCUUAACCCCGGAACUGCGCCUAAAACUACCUGGCUAGAGUCUCGGAGAGGACAGUGGAAUUCUAGGUGUAGCGGUGAAAUGCGUAGAUAUCUAGAGGAACACCAGUGGCGAAGGCGACUGUCUGGACGAGUACUGACGCUCAAUCACGAAAGCGUGGGUAGCGAAAGGGAUUAGAUACCCCUGUAGUCCACGCCGUAAACGUUGUGCACUAAGUUUCGGAGGAUUCGACCCCUUCGGAGCUCAAGCUAACGCGUUAAGUGCACCGCCUGAGGACUACGGCCGCAAGGCUAAAACUCAAAGGAAUUG
rnacentral:rRNA from 1 species